CGCUGCCUCCCCGGGGACGCCCGGGGAAACGGUCGUUCCUCCGAGCCCCCCCACUGCCAAAUCGUGUCGUGUCUCGUUUUUUACCUUCCGUUUACGCGUUGUGGGGGUUGCUGUGGGGUGUUGGGGGGGGCCACGCGCCUCCCCCCCCUCCCUCCCUCCCUCCCGCGUAUCCCAAAAAAAACCAAAAUUCGGACAACUCUUAGCGGUGGAUCACUCGGCUCGUGCGUCGAUGAAGAACGCAGCUAGCUGCGAGAAUUAAUGUGAAUUGCAGGACACAUUGAUCAUCGACACUUCGAACGCACUUGCGGCCCCGGGUUCCUCCCGGGGCUACGCCUGUCUGAGCGUCGCUUAACGUUCAAUCGCCCGGUUCCCGUUUCCCCCGGUACCCCUUCCGCCUCCCCCCAUCCCCGCCCAAGCCGUUGUCGCUCGCGAGGAGGAUCCGCGGUGGAUCCUGAGGGCGCCCGCGCGUUUGGAGCUGGGGGGGGGGUUCGCGGUCGGGGUUUUCCGGGGUCUCGGGGGCGUGGGGCGCGGCUGGGGGUCAUCGCAGGGUCCCGCCACGCCAGAGGCCAAAGGGUGGCCGGGGCCCUCCGUCCCCUGAAGUGCAGACGGUGGCGAAAAGAUGAAGCGAGAAGGGCCGCCCGUGUGGCGGAGCUCGCCCGCCCUUGGGGACCUCGCGCCCUCUGCGGGCGGCGUCUGGACCCGCCGGGCGCGCGGUGCGGUGUGUCGCGUGGGGUUUUGGGUACGCUGUCCCGGACCACCGGGCGCUUUCCCGCUCCCCUCCUUCCCCCGCCCGCUCGUCGUCGGGCGGGCCCCCUUCCCGUCGGCCGGACGGAGCGCCUGUCGGGGCCCGGCCCCGCGGCGGUUGCCUGUGGGGCCCGGGU
rnacentral:lncRNA from 1 species